rnacentral:rRNA from 1 species
CAGCAGAAAUCCAACUACGAGCUUUUUAACUGCAACAACUUUAAUAUACGCUAUUGGAGCUGGAAUUACCGCGGCUGCUGGCACCAGACUUGCCCUCCAAUUGUUACUCUGAAAGGGGUUUGGAUUCCUAUCAUUCCAAUCACUAGAAAUGAAAUUUCCAGUGUUGUUAUUUCUUGUCACUACCUCCCUGAAUCAGGAUUGGGUAAUUUGCGCGCCUGCUGCCUUCCUUAGAUGUGGUAGCCGUUUCUCAGGCUCCCUCUCCGGAAUCGAACCCUAAUUCCCCGUUACCCGUCACUGCCACGGUAGUCCAAUACAGUACCGUCGAAAGCUGAUAGGUCAGAAACUUGAAUGAUCCGUCGCAGACCGAAGUCAACGCGAUCCGUUCGGUUACUAUGAAUCACCUGAGGACCACCGGAAGGUGGGUUGGUUCUGUAUCUAAUAAACACUGCCCUUCCAGGGGAAGAGGCAUGUGCGCAUGUAUUAGCCAUAGAAUUACCACGGUUAUCCAUGUAGUAAAGACCAUCAAAUAAACUAUAACUGUUUUAAUGAGCCAUUCGCAGUUUAGCCGUAUAAAAGCUUAUACUUAGACAUGCAUGGCUUAAUCUUUAAGACAAGCAUAUGA